rnacentral:rRNA from 1 species
AGCGGUGGAGCAUGUGGUUUAAUUCGAUGCUACGCGAAGAACCUUACCAGGUCUUGACAUCUUCUGCCAACCUAAGAGAUUAGGUGUUCCCUUCGGGGACAGAAUGACAGGUGGUGCAUGGUUGUCGUCAGCUCGUGUCGUGAGAUGUUGGGUUAAGUCCCGCAACGAGCGCAACCCUUAUUGUUAGUUGCCAGCAUUCAGUUGGGCACUCUAGCAAGACUGCCGGUGACAAACCGGAGGAAGGUGGGGAUGACGUCAAAUCAUCAUGCCCCUUAUGACCUGGGCUACACACGUGCUACAAUGGACGGUACAACGAGUCGCGAAACCGCGAGGUCAAGCUAAUCUCUUAAAGCCGUUCUCAGUUCGGAUUGUAGGCUGCAACUCGCCUACAUGAAGUUGGAAUCGCUAGUAAUCGUGGAUCAGCAUGCCACGGUGAAUACGUUCCCGGGCCUUGUACACACCGCCCGUCACACCAUGAGAGUUUGUAACACCCAAAGCCGGUGAGGUAACCUUCGGGGACCAGCCGUCUAAGGUGGGACAGAUGAUUAGGGUGAAGUCGUAACAAGGUAACC